AACGAACGCUGGCGGCAUGCCUAACACAUGCAAGUCGAACGAGACCUUCGGGUCUAGUGGCGCACGGGUGCGUAACGCGUGGGAACCUGCCCUUAGGUUCGGCAUAACUCCCCGAAAGGGGUGCUAAUACCGGAUAAUGUCUUCGGACCAAAGAUUUAUCGCCUUUGGAUGGGCCAGCGUUGGAUUAGCUAGUUGGUAGGGUAAAAGCCUACCAAGGCGACGAUCCAUAGCUGGUCUGAGAGGAUGAUCAGCCACACUGGGACUGAGACACGGCCCAGACUCCUACGGGAGGCAGCAGUGGGGAAUAUUGGACAAUGGGCGGAAGCCUGAUCCAGCAAUGCCGCGUGAGUGAUGAAGGCCUUAGGGUUGUAAAGCUCUUUUACCCGGGAUGAUAAUGACAGUACCGGGAGAAUAAGCUCCGGCUAACUCCGUG
rnacentral:rRNA from 1 species